rnacentral:lncRNA from 1 species
AAAUGUGUGAAAUAAAUUUCCACAUCAAAUACUCCCAAACUUGAAUGUUUGCUUGUCCUCAAGCAAAAGAAAAACCAUAAAAACAAAGGACAAUAACCAUAGUCAGGCUCAACUCAUCCCACCCAAACUUGAAUGUUUGCUUGCCUUUUGACACGAAUACAAGCAUUUGUGAUGGAAGCACCCGGUUACUCAACAAGUCACACACUUAAAGUGCUUUUGCAUACUCAUAUUUCAUGUUGCCAUUUGACGUAAAAGUAAACAUUGGUGAUGAAUACCCCUAGUUACUAAGCAACUCAAAACAUUGGAGUAGAUAGAACUUUGUACACAUUUAUUUAUUCGACUGCUAAUCAUUAUCACUCUA